rnacentral:piRNA from 1 species
UAGCAAUCAGGGAAGCUGGCCUACAUGCU